AAUGACCGUACCCCAAACCGACACAGGUGGAUAGGUAGAGAAUACCAAGGCGCUUGAGAGAACUAUGUUGAAGGAACUCGGCAAAUUGCCUCCGUAACUUCGGGAGAAGGAGGCCCUCUAUUAAGGCAACUUUUUAGAGGGGGCACAGACCAGGGGGUGGCGACUGUUUACUAAAAACACAGGGCUCUGCGAAGUCGUAAGACGACGUAUAGGGUCUGACGCCUGCCCGGUGCCGGAAGGUCACGCGGAGGGGUUAGCGCGAGCGAAG
rnacentral:rRNA from 1 species